rnacentral:rRNA from 1 species
ACAAGCCUGAGAAACGGCUAGUAGGACUAAGGUCUGCAGCAGGCGCGAAACUUACACAAUGCUAGAUUAAAAUUAGCGAUGUAGUGAAGAAAAAUAACGAUGUACUUACAUUUAAACAUGUUAGUACAAUUGGAAUGAGACGACUAUAAACCAGUCAGUCGAGUAACAAAUGGAGGGCAAGUCUGGUGCCAGCAGCCGCGGUAAUUCCAGCUCCAUUAGCAUACAUUAAAGUUGUUGCGGUUAAAAAGCUCGUAGUUGAAUUUUAGGCGAGCUCUAUUGGGAUGCAACCGUUAAGGGUUCAUGCAGCUUCGGCUCGUGCAAUCUGGUUGUAUUUUCCCUAUAGGAACUCGCUGUUUCGUCACUUAAUCGAGUGCGAAGCGGGCUGGAACGAUGGUCAACUUCGGUUGCCUUGUUACAGCAAGUUUACCUUGAGAAAAUUAGAGUGCUCACAGCAGGCAGUUGGGGUGUAAAAGCUCCUUUAUGCUUGAAUAAUGUUGCAUGGAAUAAUAGAAUAUGGCCUCGGUUCUAUUCUGUUGGUCUUAUAGAACAACAAAUAAGUUGAUUAAAGCGACAAAAAGUCUGUUUGGUUGUGUGGUCUUGAGCGUCUUUUCAUGUUUCUAGUAGCUCUAUCAGUGAUCUCAGUCUGAACUCUGUUACCGGGGGCCUUAAAAUCUCCGAGACUGGUUCUGCUAUGCGUCUCUGUUAUCUGCUAGUGCUGUCUUGUUUGCUUAUUUCCAUUAAAGCACUCCUUACUAGGCUAGCUUUUAGUCAACUGAGGCAAUGGUUAAAAGAAAUAGUCGCGGCGGCAUCAGUACUGCAUCGUGAGAG